UCCUGGCUCAGAAUCAACGCUGGCGGCGUGCCUAACACAUGCAAGUCGAGCGAGAAAAGGGGAGCAAUCCUCUGAGUACAGCGGCGCACGGGUGAGUAACACGUGGGUAAUCUGCCCUAGAGUGGGGAAUAACACCGGGAAACCGGUGCUAAUACCGCAUACGAUCACGAGGUCUGCGGACUUUGUGAUGAAAGGAGCAAUUCGCUCCAGGAGGAGCCCGCGGCUGAUUAGCUAGUUGGUGAGGUAACGGCUCACCAAGGCAACGAUCAGUAUCCGGUCUGAGAGGACGGCCGGACACACUGGAACUGAGACACGGUCCAGACUCCUACGGGAGGCAGCAGUGGGGAAUUUUUGGCAAUGGGGGAAACCCUGACCAAGCAGCGCCGCGUGGGUGAUGAAGUCUCUUGGGACGUAAAACCCUUUCGACGGGGAAGAAAACCGCAAGGUUUGACGGUACCCGUAGAAGAAGCCCCGGCUAACUCCGUGCCAGCAGCCGCGGUAAUACGGGGGGGGCAAGCGUUGUUCGGAAUUACUGGGCGUAAAGGGCGCGUAGGCGGUUCGCUAAGUUGGAUGUGAAAACUCUGGGCUCAACCCAGAGCCUGCAUCCAAAACUGGCGGGCUAGAGUUCUGGAGGGGGUAGCGGAA
rnacentral:rRNA from 1 species